UACGUAGGGUGCAAGCGUUGUCCGGAAUUAUUGGGCGUAAAGAGCUCGUAGGCGGUCUGUCGCGUCUGCUGUGAAAACUCGGGGCUUAACCCCGGGCCUGCAGUGGGUACGGGCAAGCUAGAAUUCGGUAGGGGGAGACUGGAAUUCCUGGUGUGCGGUGAAAUGCGCAGAUAUCAGGAGGAACACCGGUGGCGAAGGCGGGUCUCUGGGCCGAUACUGACGCUGAGGAGCGAAAGCAUGGGUAGCGAACAGG
rnacentral:rRNA from 1 species